GGCCGUGGAAGGCCAGAUGCGGGGGUGCUGCAUGCCUAUUCCCGUGCUAGUGGGCUGUGAAAGCGGUCUCCGCUUGGCGCUCAUGAGGGGAUGUUUAGGCCGCGCUGCCCUCAGCCGCUCCUCACUGCCUCCUUUUCUCUCCUCAGGUUGCACUGCCGCCUUCCCCAGCCGCCUCCAGCUCGCUCCUGCUCCCUAAAUAUGAGAAGAUGGAGUGGAGCACUGUUUUCCAAGUCGCUGAUGGUGAUGAGAUGCAAACAACAGGAAAAAGUCCAUGUGUUUAGUGGAGGAGGGUGAGUAUAGUGCAAGUCCCAGCCUGAAUAAUAGAGGUGGUAGCUAAGGCUCCAUUCAUGACAUGUGUGUAAUGAAUGUAGCCACGGAAACCAGAUGGGGCUGGAAGCACAAGAUAUUUCAAGUACUGAUGGGUUGUAAACCUGUGUGGAACUGCAGUAGAGAACUAAAUAAAGCUGACUUUGAUUUUUUU